AUUGAACGCUGGCGGCAGGCCUAACACAUGCAAGUCGAACGUGUGGCGGACGGGUGAGUAAUGUCUGGGCAACUGCCUGACGGAGGGGGAUAUCUACUGGAAACGGUAGCUAAUACUUCAUACCAUCAGAUGUUCUCACACGGUAUUAGUUGACUGUUAGGGUAACGGCUCACCAAGCCGACGAGCCCUAGCUGGUCUGAGAGGAUGACCAGCCACAGUUGAUCGGCGACACGGUCCAGACUCCUACGGGUGGCAGCAGUGGGGACUAAUGCACAAUGGGCGCAAGCCUGAUGCAGCCAUGCCGCGUGUAUGAAGAAGGCCUUCGGGUUGUAAAGUACUUUCAGCGGGGAGGCGUUACCCGCAGAGGACGCACCGGCUAACUCCGUGACAGCAGCCGCGGUAAUAC
rnacentral:rRNA from 1 species